ACAAAGGAGAAGUAGUAGUCAUGGAUUCGAAACGCACACCCCUCGCUGAAUGGACGAACAUGCAUGAUUGCCUCCAGAGGUAAUUUCAAUCAUUAUGUCACUAUAUCGGCAACUUCUCGUUCAUUUCCUGAUAGCAAGGAAUUAAUAUAGAUCCUUUAUUCAUUUUCUUUUCUUGGCAGGGCUUGGAAACGGUUCAUCGCCAAGGCUCAGGGUGUUUGGAAACCGAAGCUUACAUUUAACCAAAUAAAUGUAAGUAACUACUAGCUAGAUCCGCGCAUCUUUUUAUUCUAGUUUUAAUACCAUUAUAAUUCUUGAUUAUGUUUUUGAUUGAACUCUGUUCUCGUAAAGUGCUUGAGGCAGGAAAAGGAGAACAAUUUAUGUGGAUACUAUGUUUGCGAGUUCAUUAGUCAGACGACCAAGGAGAAGGGCAAAAAUCGGGACAUAAAAAAAUAUAGAAGUACGAUAAACAAUACUCACAACUUUAUUUUAUUACCGUGAAUUGUGUUCGGUUUCAUUGAUCAUAUAUAUUGACCCAUUCUUUAAAUUAGAUCGAAUGGUUGCGGGACGGUCUUCUACCACAGGAGCGUGUACGAGCAAUUCAAGAAGAAAUUGCCGGAUUCUUUGAUGCAGAGGUCCUAAAUGUGAAUGGAGAAUUCUAUUGCCCGUCGGCGCAAAUUAGAUGAAAUAUUAAAGUGUAAAAUAUAUGCAUAUGUGCAUGUGUAACUCCUGUGUACAUUUUGUAAUAUAUUCGACAAAGCACGACGGAUGAGAUGGUGUAAUAUAUUCGUGACGAUGAU
rnacentral:lncRNA from 1 species